rnacentral:rRNA from 1 species
GACCCGCUGAACUUAAGCAUAUCAAUAAGCGGAGGAAGAGAAACCAACCGGGAUUCCCUAACGGCGAGCGAAGCGGGAAUACCUCAGUGCCCAGGUCUGAAAUCUCCGACCGGACCAGUUGCACGGUCGGCGAAUUGUGGUCUGGAGAGCCGGGCUGUCCCGAAGUCGCGUUCCCAGGGCCCGAAGUCGACUUGGAACGGCGCGCCCAAGAGGGUGAGAGCCCCGUAGGGCCUGGAAACCGGGAGCGACGGGACGAGAGCUCGCGCUCGUCGAGUCGAGUUGUUUGGGAAUGCAGCUCAAAUCGGGUGGUAGACUCCAUCCAAGGCUGAAUACAGGCGCGAGUCCGAUAGCGGACAAGU